CUAAGUUAUGCGUGAGGAGUGUCUCUAAGGGCCUGCUGGGGACUAGCCUUAUUGCAUUCAGUGUAUUCCAGGGAGCAAGGAUCAUUUUCUUCUGCCAGCAUGCUUUCUGCCACCUGUUCCAUUCUUGUGAUCUUAAUACUCAGAGGGACCAGUGGAGACUCAGUGACCCAGACAGAAGGCCCUGUUAUCCGCCUUGAGAGGACAAGUAUUAUCCUGAACUGCAGUUAUCAGACCACUUAUUCAAGUCCUUUCCUCUUCUGGUAUGUCCAGUAUCUCAGUAAAGGUCCCCAGCUCCUCCUGAAGAGUUCAACAGACAACCAGAAGGUAGAGAAUGAAGAGUUUCAUGCCAAGCUUGUGAAGAGUAGCAGCUCCUUCCACCUAGAGAAAUCAUCACUCCAAAUGUCAGACUCGGCGGUGUAUUACUGUGCUAUGAGUGACACAGUGGGGGAGGCUGCAGGGGGAGCUGAGCACAAACCCAGAGGGCUGCAGGUGGGGCCUGGCUGUGGGCAGCCCUGGGAGGGAAGAUAUAUUCUCUCCCUAAGCAGUGAGAGAAUAUAA